UGAUUGAAUUCUUUCUUGUCUUCAUCUUUCUUUGUUAAUUUGUUUUAUUCUGCUUUUCACUUAGGUUUCCCAAAUGAGCCUGCUUCCAUCAUUGCCCUCAGCACCAUUAAGGAAUGGCUGUCUAAGAAUCAUCACGAGGCAAACUCUGUGUCAGUGUCUUGAGGUGUGGAUUGAACCUAC
rnacentral:lncRNA from 1 species